rnacentral:rRNA from 1 species
UACGUAGGGUGCAAGCGUUGUCCGGAAUUAUUGGGCGUAAAGAGCUUGUAGGCGGUUUGUCGCGUCUGCUGUGAAAUUUCGGGGCUCAACCCCGAACUUGCAGUGGGUACGGGCAGACUAGAGUGUGGUAGGGGAGACUGGAAUUCCUGGUGUAGCGGUGAGAUGCGCAGAUAUCAGGAGGAGCACCGGUGGCGAAGGCGGGUCUCUGGGACGGUACUGACGCUGAGACGCGAAAGCGUGGGGAGCGAACAGG